rnacentral:rRNA from 1 species
AGUGAACGCUGGCGGUAGGCCUAACACAUGCAAGUCGAACGGCAGCACAGUAAUAGCUUGCUCUUACGGGUGGCGAGUGGCGGACGGGUGAGGAAUACAUCGGAAUCUACUUUUUCGUGGGGGAUAACGUAGGGAAACUUACGCUAAUACCGCAUACGACCUACGGGUGAAAGCAGGGGAUCUUCGGACCUUGCGCGAUUGAAUGAGCCGAUGUCGGAUUAGCUAGUUGGCGGGGUAAAGGCCCACCAAGGCGACGAUCCGUAGCUGGUCUGAGAGGAUGAUCAGCCACACUGGAACUGAGACACGGUCCAGACUCCUACGGGAGGCAGCAGUGGGGAAUAUUGGACAAUGGGCGCAAGCCUGAUCCAGCCAUACCGCGUGGGUGAAGAAGGCCUGCGGGUUGUAAAGCCCUUUUGUUGGGAAAGAAAAGCAGCAGGUUAAUACCCCGCUGUUCUGACGGUACCCAAAGAAUAAGCACCGGCUAACUUCGU